rnacentral:rRNA from 1 species
CAGCCGCCACGGUAAAACGUGGGUGGCAAGCGUUGUCCGGAAUUAUUGGGCGUAAAGGGCUCGCAGGCGGUUUCUUAAGUCUGAUGUGAAAGCCCCCGGCUCAACCGGGGAGUGUCAUUGGAAACUGGGAAACUUGAGUGCAGAAGAGGAGAGUGGAAUUCCACGUGUAGCGGUGAAAUGCGUAGAGAUGUGGAGGAACACCAGUGGCGAAGGCGACUCUCUGGUCUGUAACUGACGCUGAGGAGCGAAAGCGUGGGGAGCGAACAGGAUUAGAUACCCCGGUAGUCCCUGUCUCUUAUAC